rnacentral:rRNA from 1 species
GACGAACGCUGGCGGCGUGCCUAAUACAUGCAAGUAGAACGCUGAAACUUGGUGCUUGCACCGAGCGGAUGAGUUGCGAACGGGUGAGUAACGCGUAGGUAACCUGCCUGGUAGCGGGGGAUAACUAUUGGAAACGAUAGCUAAUACCGCAUAAGAGUAGAUGUUGCAUGACAUUUGCUUAAAAGGUGCAAUUGCACCACUACCAGAUGGACCUGCGUUGUAUUAGCUAGUUGGUGGGGUAACGGCUCACCAAGGCGACGAUACAUAGCCGACCUGAGAGGGUGAUCGGCCACACUGGGACUGAGACACGGCCCAGACUCCUACGGGAGGCAGCAGUAGGGAAUCUUCGGCAAUGGACGGAAGUCUGACCGAGCAACGCCGCGUGAGUGAAGAAGGUUGUCGGAUCGUAAAGCUCUGUUGUAAGAGAAGAACGAGUGUGAGAGUGGAAAGUUCACACUGUGACGGUAUCUUACCAGAAAGGGACGGCUAACUACGUG